AUGGGCACGGUGAAGGCGUGGGUGGCGGGCAAGUACGCGGAGCCCAUGGGGCCGAUGCACGACUCGCUGCGCGUCGCCUACGUGGUCUUCUCCUUCUGCGCCGCCUUCUUGCUCGGCGGCGUCAAAGCGGUGGUGGUCGGCCCGGUGGCGGCGGCGCUGAUGAUACUGGGGAACGUGGGCGUCAUACUCGUGCUCUUCCCGGCGCACGUCUGGUGGACCAUCUACUCGCUCAUCAAGACGGACCGCAUCAACGCGGGCCUGAAGCUGGCGGUGGCCAUCGCGCUGCCGGUGCUGUUCGGGCUGUGGCUGGGCCUGGGCAUCUUCGGGAGCGCCCUGGUGGCGCUGGGCUACGGCUUCUUCACGCCGUGGAUCUCCACCUUCGAGGCGUUCCGGCAGGAGAGCGAGGCCAAGAAGUUCGUGCAUGGCAUUGUGGACGGGACGUGGGGGACGAUCAAGGGCAGCUGCACGGUGGUGAGGGACUUCGCGGACAUGUGCUUCCACUCCUACCCCGUUUACCUCAAGGAGUUCCGCGAGUGCUCCCAGGACCGCGAACCCCUCUCCAUAAGGCUGCUGGACGUGCCGUCGUGCAUACUCGUGGGCCUCCUGGGGUUGAUCGUGGACAUACCGCUCUACACGGUGAUCGCGCUGAUCAAGAGCCCCUACAUGCUCUUCAAGGGCUGGCAGAGGCUGCUGCACGACCUUAUCAGCCGCGAAGGCCCCUUCCUGGAGCCGGUCUGCGUGCCCAUCGCCGGCCUCACCAUCCUUUUCUGGCCCCUGGUGGUGGUUGGGAGCGUCCUGCUGGCCGUCGUCUCCAGCAUUUUCGUGGGUCUGUACGGGGCGGUCAUCGUCUACCAGGAGAAGUCGUUCCGGCGGGGGGCUUCGUACGUGGUGACCAUGGUCGCCGAGUUUGACGAGUACACCAACGACUGGCUUUACCUUCGCGAAGGCACUGUUCUUCCAAAGCCUUCCUAUAGGAAGAGGAAAUCGUCCGACUCCGCGGAGUUCUCGGUCCGGCCAAAUGUUUCUGUUAGGGGAGGUGAGCACCCUAGUUCAUCCAGUGAAGCACCAGCAAUGCUGGUUCCGACUUUGGUUCCGGCGAGGUCCGUCAGAGAGGCGAUACAAGAGGUCAAAAUGGUCCAGAUAUGGGAAAACGUUAUGAAGUCAUGCGAGCAGAGGGGCAGGGAUCUACUGAACCUGAAUGUCAUAACCAGCGUGGACCUGACCGAGUGGCUAAGAACAAAAGACAGUGGCAAUGAGACGAUAAACCUGGGACUGCCUUCGUAUGACAUGCUGUGCACCGUCCUGCAGUCGAUCAAGACCGGCUCCGCGGGGCUGCUGCUCGGCAACGGCGUCGAGGUCGAUCAGCAGAACCGGCCGCAGGACCUGCUGCUGGACUGGUUCUUCCACCCCGUGCUGGUGCUCAAGGACCAGAUACAGGUGCUGAAGAUGACCGAGCAGGAAGUGAAGUUCCUGGAGAAGUCGACUCUUUUCGUCGGUAGUAGUUCUGCUACUGCCAGUGCGGAUGUGUGGGAUAAUGGCGCCGAGACCCCCCGAGAUCCUGUGCGGACCGCGCAGAUCCAGGCGAUCAGCAGAAGGAUGGUGGGGAUAGUGAGGAGCAUGUCCAAGUUCCCGACGUACCGCAGGCGAUACAGGCAUGUGGUGAAGCUACUGCUGGCGUACGCGGUGGAGCGGGAAGGCUCGUUCGGGUCGUCGGCGUCGGGUCCGUCGGUCUCCUUCGAAAUCACACGCCUCGAAGUGUAG
rnacentral:rRNA from 1 species